AAAGCUUCUUAGCUUCCCUGCCCUUCCGGCUUUUUCUUCCUUGUCAAUAUUGUUCAAUAAUGAGUUCAUUUGGAAUCCAACAGAAGGUGGUGGAUUUUGGAAAUUGAUGAAAUCAUUUAUCAAUUCCUAUGUUCCUUCUUGGGAUCAUAGUCUACCAGACUUGUUUCUAAUUAUCUAUCAUGAUGUGCCUACAGUUAUCAACAAUUGUCCGG
rnacentral:misc_RNA from 1 species